rnacentral:SRP_RNA from 1 species
GCUGGGCAUGGUGGCGUGUGCCUGUAAUCCCAGCUACUCAGGAGGCUGAGGCAGGAGAAUCGCUUGAACCCGGGAGGCGGAGGUUGCAGUGAGCUAAGAUCACGCCAUUGCACUCCAGCCUAGUGAAAGAGCGAGACUCCGUCUUUUUUUUUGGAAAUGGAGUCUCACUCUGUUGCCUAGGCUGGAGCGCAAUGGCUGAAUCUCAGCUCACUGCAACCUCCACCUCCCGGAUUCAAGCGAUUCUCCUGCCUCA